GGCUCCUUGUAUUAUAAAAAAUAAGGAGUCGGACCUGCCCAGUGAAAUUUUUUAACGGCCGCGGUACUCUGACCGUGCAAAGGUAGCAUAAUCAUUUGCCUUAUAAUUGAAGGCUUGUAUGAAUGGUUUGACAAGAAUGAAGCUGUCUCUUUAUAAUUAAUUUGAAUUUUAUUUAUAGGUGAAGAAGCCUAUAUUAUAUUGAAAGACAAGAAGACCCUAUCGAGCUUUAAAAAAAUUAAUAAAUUGGAAAAUUAAUAUUAAAAAUAUAAAUUUAAUUAUUAAAUUAUUUUAGUUGGGGCGACUGAGGAACAAACAAAGCUUCCUAUAUAGAUAUUAAUACAUUCAAGUACUGAUCCAAAAGCUUUGAUUAAAGAAAUUAGUUACCGUAGGGAUAACAGCAUUAUCUUUUUUAAGAGCUCUAAUCGAAAAAAAGGUUUGUGACCUCGAUGUUGGACCAGAAUAUCCUAAAGAUGCAGCCGUCUUUAAGGGUUGGUCUGUUCGACCAUUAAAAUUCUACGUGAUCUGAGUUCAGACCGGCGUGAGCCAGGUCAGUUUCUAUCUUCAAUUUUUAUAGUGAACUUAGUACGAAAGGACCAAUUUACUGUAAGAUAUUUACUUUGUUUGAUAAAAUAUAAAGUAUUAUUAAGUUAAUAAUAAAAAAUAUAACUAAAAAUCAAAUUAGCAAAGAUUUAAUGCAAUUGACUUAGGAUCAAUAGACAUAGGUGAAACUCCUUUAUUUGAUAAUAAAGGUGGCAGAUAAA
rnacentral:rRNA from 1 species